rnacentral:rRNA from 1 species
UUGAACGCUGGCGGCAGGCCUAACACAUGCAAGUCGAACGGUAACAGGAAGCAGCUUGCUGCUUUGCUGACGAGUGGCGGACGGGUGAGUAAUGUCUGGGAAACUGCCUGAUGGAGGGGGAUAACUACUGGAAACGGUAGCUAAUACCGCAUAACGUCGCAAGACCAAAGAGGGGGACCUUAGGGCCUCUUGCCAUCGGAUGUGCCCAGAUGGGAUUAGCUAGUAGGUGGGGUAACGGCUCACCUAGGCGACGAUCCCUAGCUGGUCUGAGAGGAUGACCAUCCACACUGGAACUGAGACACGGUCCAGACUCCUACGGGAGGCAGCAGUGGGGAAUAUUGCACAAUGGGCGCAAGCCUGAUGCAGCCAUGCCGCGUGUAUGAAGAAGGCCUUCGGGUUGUAAAGUACUUUCAGCGGGGAGGAAGGGAGUAAAGUUAAUACCUUUGCUCAUUGACGUUACCCGCAGAAGAAGCACCGGCUAACUCCGUG